CAUAAGGUGGUCUGCUCAUUUAACUUCGCCGGCCCGCACUUAGUAUUUCGCGUUGGACGUGAUGAAGGCCACAAUUUCUAGUCUUUCUGGUCUUCAUAGCAUAAGGUCCAACCCAAUUUUCGAUCCCAAGUUUCAGUCCAGUGGCAUUUAGAUAUGGUAGAUUGAAGUCAUAAUCACACAAGGGUUGUUUCAAGGAAAGGAUAUUUUGAUUCGCUGUUUGCUCCAAUUUAUAACAAAUUGAUGAAAAACGUUUCGCAAUGUCAAAAACGAUUUUGCGAACCAUUUAUUUUACGUUAAUUCGAUCCCUGGUAGUGGAAGAGUCCUGAAAAGAACUGUUUUUUAUAUCAUUUAUUCGAUUAAUAGCUGUAAUAAAAUUCCACAAAUAAUAAACUAAGAGUACAACGACAAAAUAGCACCUUCCUUCUUCUCCGUAAAAUUUAAAUGACAACAAUGAGCUCGCAAGCGUUGCUUUUUAGGCGCAAUUUGGGUGGUUACAGAUGAAAAUCUUUAAAAAAACAGAAAAAACUCCUGUGGUCGCCCUCACAUUUGCAGCGCUUUCGGUGAGUCGGCACCCUCUAUCAAUUUUGUUUUAAUUCAAAUACAAAAAGACUUUAAAGCAUCUUAACAAGGUAAUAAGUAUUUCAUUUGUCAGAUUGCCCCUUUUUUUAGAUCAGGUGACAUAUUCAAUUUGUAUGUUUAAUAUGUUCAAUUUAAUAAAUGUGAACUAGCUAGAAGUAUAUACUCCAGCAUAUACACAAUUUUUUCCUUAUCAACCAAUUUAACAUGUUUAAAAAGUUGAAUUGAUUGUAGAAUUUUUCACACAUGCUAGUUUUUCAGCUCAAUUUUUUGAAAAUAUACAAGAAGUUUUUCUUUUUGUCUAUUAAACCCUUUGUGUUUAAAAACUAUCAAAAAAAUGGAUGUGGAAGAAGUUGUACCAACACUCAAAAAUGCCAGCACAAAAGAACUUUCACCACUUUUUUUGAUAACAAAAAAAUUAUGAAAUGAAAAAUAAUACCAGAAAUGAUGAGCUGCUAAAUCCCAAAUGGAAAUUUUAUCAAAGUGUUCUUAGGUAUUAUUAAAAUCUUACUCCUUAACAACUGUAUAAGUCUGAUAUUUUUCUAGUGAAUAUAAUUAGCCACUCUAAUAAAUUGGUAAAUUCGGGAUAAAUUUCAAUUAAGAAAUAGCUGUUUAACGGCUCCCGACCACACUGAAUUAACCCUGUAUUCACAUUCAAAUUGAAUUAACCAAUCAUAAUGUGUCUUGUCAAUGUGAAAAGAUAGUAGCUGAUAUAUUUAGAAUGUGUUAAUGUAAGAACAGCUUUUGCAUGGUGCAUACAAGAUUGUGUCAUUUUUUGUAUUAUUUUUUAGUCUUUGUUGAUUGUUACCUCAAGGUAAAUACUUCCUUAUUUUAUAGCCAAAGUAAUAGUAUAAAAGUAUAAAGUAUUAACAAUGGCUCCUCAACUGAGAAAUCUGCUUCAGCGAAAAGUGGUGACACAAAUUGGUACUGGCCUUGUCUUAGCCACCACGUGUGCAUUUGGAUGGAAAUACGGAUAUGCCGAGCCAAAGAAAGCAAAAUAUACUGCCUUCUACAAAGAUUAUGAUGCGGAUAAAGCAGCACGCGAAUUUGAAGCCGAAUUAGCAAAAGCUGGCAAAUGAAUUUACAACCUCAUAAAAUAUUAUUUUUUGUGUAUGUUCGACAGUAGUAUUUAGACAAAAAAGUUCUGUUUUGAUA